rnacentral:rRNA from 1 species
UGAGGAAUAUUGGUCAAUGGGCGAGAGCCUGAACCAGCCAAGUAGCGUGCAGGAUGACGGCCCUAUGGGUUGUAAACUGCUUUUAUGUGGGGAUAAAGUGCGUGACGUGUCAUGCAUUGCAGGUACCACAUGAAUAAGGACCGGCUUAUUCCGUUCCAGCAGCCGCGGUAAUACGGAAGGUCCGGGCGUUAUCCGGAUUUAUUGGGUUUAAAGGGAGCGUAGGCUGUCUAUUAAGCGUGUUGUGAAAUUUACCGGCUCAACCGGUGGCUUGCGGCGCGAACUGGUCGACUUGAGUAUGCAGGAAGUAGGCGGAAUUCAUGGUGUAGCGGUGAAAUGCUUAGAUAUCAUGACGAACUCCGAUUGCGCAGGCAGCUUACUGUAGCAUAACUGACGCUGAUGCUCGAAAGUGCGGGUAUCAAACAGG